AAAGAGAAGUGCACCAGUUACUCGUACACAAGUAGUGGGUCAGAAAGUUAUUACAGUACAAAAGAGUGACUUUCAAAAGUUACUCGUACACAAAGAGUGCAUCAGAAAGAUAUUACAGUACAAAGGAGGAGUGCACCAGUAUUGUUAUUAGUUACUCGCACACAAAGAGAGGGUCAGAAAGAUGGUACAGUAGAAAUGAGGAGUGCACCAGUUACUUUUACACAAUGAGAGGGUCAGAAUGAGAAUACAGGACAAAAUAGAAGUGCGCCAGUUACUCGCACACAAGGAAAGGGUCA